rnacentral:tRNA from 1 species
CCCGGCGUAGCUCAACGGUAGAGCACUCGGCUGUAGACCGAGGGGUUGCCAGUUCGAAUCUGGCCGCCGGGA